UACGUAGGGUGCGAGCGUUAAUCGGAUUUACUGGGCGUAAAGCGUGCGCAGGCGGCCCGUUAAGACAGGUGUGAAAUCCCUGGGCUUAACCUAGGAAUUGCGCUUGUGACUGGCGGGCUCGAGUAUGGUAGAGGGGGGUGGAAUUCCUGGUGUAGCAGUGAAAUGCGUAGAGAUCAGGAGGAACACCGAUGGCGAAGGCAGCCCCCUGGGCCUGUACUGACGCUCAUGCACGAAAGCGUGGGGAGCAAACAGG
rnacentral:rRNA from 1 species